rnacentral:lncRNA from 1 species
GGAACACGUUUCACGCGCGGUUGCUGAUUUCGCGAGAAUCCCUCGCACGUUCAUGUUUUGCGGGUUGUUCCAUAUCACGUUCGGGUGGGCCCGGUUAAGGGUACAAGAGUAAAGCUACUACUUCUGGGCCCGCUGUGGUUUUCAGUGUUAUGGCUCUGACCGGCCUGAUUCAGGCUGGGAUUCUGCGUGGAUCCAAUGCCGUCAAAAAGGAGGUGUCUGUGAAGUUUGAAGACUCAGUCCCAUUUGACCUAAUGACUGUGCUGAAGGAGGUAGAUAGUGGCUUUUCACAUAGUUAUGAUGAGCUGUGCUCAGAGUUAUCCAAGGGAGUUAUGCAGACAAGCCAACUGGCCGAAGUGCUGGAGCAGCUGCACCAGCAUGCCGGCGAGCUGUGCGGCGAGCGCCACGUGACGCUGGUGCGCUCGGUG